rnacentral:rRNA from 1 species
UUAGCCUUGUAUUAGAAUUUGACUUCGAAAGCAAGGAAACUUACAACAAAGAGUCCCUCCCGACUGUUUACCAAAAACACAGCACUCUGCUAACACGUAAGUGGAUGUAUAGGGUGUGACGCCUGCCCGGUGCUCGAAGGUUAAUUGAUGGGGUCAGCAGCAAUGCGAAGCUCUUGAUCGAAGCCCGAGUAAACGGCGGCCGUAACUAUAACGGUCCUAAGGUAGCGAAAUUCCUUGUCGGUUAAAUACCGACCUGCAUGAAUGGCGUAACGAGAUGGGAGCUGUCUCAAAGAGGGAUCCAGUGAAAUUGUAGUGGAGGUGAAAAUUCCUCCUACCCGCGGCAAGACGGAAAGACCCCGUGGACCUUUACUACAGCUUGACACUGCUACUUGGAUAAGAAUGUGCAGGAUAGGUGGGAGGCUUUGAGUUAUAGACGCCAGUUUAUAAUGAGCCAUCGUUGAGAUACCACUCUUUCUUAUUCGGGUAGCUAACUAGCGUGAGUUAUCCUCACGUAGGACAAUGUCUGGUGGGUAGUUUGACUGGGGCGGUCGCCUCCCAAAAAAUAACGGAGGCUUACAAAGGUUGGUUCAAAACGGUUGGAAAUCGUUUGUAGAGUAUAAAGGCAUAAACCAGCUUAACUGCAAGACAAACACGUCAAGCAGAGACGAAAGUCGGUCUUAGUGAUCCGGUGGUUCUGUGUGGAAGGGCCAUCGCUCAAAGGAUAAAAGGUACCCCGGGGAUAACAGGCUGAUCUCCCCCAAGAGCUCACAUCGACGGGGAGGUUUGGCACCUCGAUGUCGGCUCAUCGCAUCCUGGGGCUGGAGCAGGUCCCAAGGGUAUGGCUGUUCGCCAUUUAAAGCGGUACGCGAGCUGGGUUCAGAACGUCGUGAGACAGUUCGGUCCCUAUCUGCCGUGGGCGUAAGAAGAUUGAAGAGAUUUGACCCUAGUACGAGAGGACCGGGUUGAACGAACCACUGGUGUAGCUGUUGUUCUGCCAAGAGCAUCGCAGCGUAGCUAAGUUCGGAUGUGAUAAGAGCUGAAAGCAUCUAAGCUCGAAGCCAACUCUAAGAUGAAUCUUCUCUUAAGGUCGCAGCAAGACUAGCUGCUUGAUAGGUUGGGUGUGUAAGUGGUGAAAGCCAUUUAGCUGACCAAUACUAAUAGACCGUCCGCUUACUUUAAAUAAGCAU